rnacentral:rRNA from 1 species
GAUUAACGCUGGCGGCGUGCCUAACACAUGCAAGUCGAGCGGCAGCGUGUUUUACACUGACUUCUGGAAGCUUCUAGUUGAAAGAGAAGAUUUAUUCAAGAAUUUUGUGUAAAAUGUCGGCGAGCGGCGGACGGCUGAGUAACGCGUGGGAACGUACCCCAACGUUAGGGAUACCGCAUCGAAAGGUGUUCUAAUACCGCAUAUGGUCUUCGGAUUAAAGCCUUCGGGCGCUUUGGGAACGGCCUGCGUAGGAUUAGAUAGUGGGUGGGGUAAUGGCCUACUAAGUCGAGGAUCUUUAACUGGUUGGGGAGGAUGAUCAGUCAGACUGGAACUGAGACACGGUCCAGACUCCUACGGGAGGAGGCAGGGAGGAAUCUGCCAAAAGGGGCGAAAGCCUGAGGGGGCAAGGCGGGGUGAAGGAGGAAGGCCUACGAGUGGUAAACUGUUUUUAUAAGGGAGGAUAAUGAGAGUAACUUAUGAAUAAGGAUCGCUUAACUAGGU